AGCAGCCGCGGUAAUUCCAGCUCCAAUAGCGUAUAUUAAAGUUGUUGCAGUUAAAAAGCUCGUAGUUGAAUUUCGGGAUCAGUUUGUUGGUCGUGCUUCGGUACGUACUGUCAUUACUGGUUUCUCCCUUCUGAGGAACCUUGAUGUCAUUAAUUUGGUGUCUUGGGGAAUCAGGACUGUUACUUUGAAAAAAUUAGAGUGUUUAAAGCAGGCAUACGCUUGAAUACAUUAGCAUGGAAUAAUGAAAUAGGACGUUUGAUUCUAUUUUGUUGGUUUCUAGGAUCGACGUAAUGAUUAAUAGGGAUAGUUGGGGGCAUUAGUAUUCAAUUGUCAGAGGUGAAAUUCUUGGAUUUAUUGAAGACUAACUACUGCGAAAGCAUUUGCCAAGGAUGUUUUCAUUAAUCAAGAACGAAAGUUAGGGGAUCGAAGACGAUCAGAUACCGUCGUAGUCUUAACCAUAAACUAUGCCGACUAGGGAUCGGAUGAUGUUAUUUUUAAUGACUCAUUCGGCGCCUUACGG
rnacentral:rRNA from 1 species